CUCUCUCUCACUAGCCUCUUUUGUAAAACCUCGCUGCCCACCUGGGGAGCUUGAGGCUGAGGGAUCAAGGAGCCAUCCCUGGAGCUGGUUUAAAGGAUGGCAAGUCUUCAAAGCAAGAAUUUUGGGACUCAAGAGAGUAAAUCAUCACCUGCUUUUUCAAAGAAAGAAGGGGGAAUAUGUGGAAGACCAUCCUUGCACAUGACUGAGUUGCCUCCCAGGCUGGGUGUGAGGCAGUCAGUUGCAGAAAUGUGGCAGAGCUUUCCUCACCCUUCUUGGUUUUGAGAACAUAUCCCUGUGGAGGCAUGCCUUACCACUAUUCCAGGGAUUCAAUCACUUCAUCUGACAUUGCAACACUGACCCCUUUGGCCUUCAAUGGAUAGGAUUUUCCCCAGAGUUUUUAGUUCCCCAAUAAAAGCCCUCUCCCUA